GACGGAGGGUGCUAGCGUUGUUCGGAAUCACUGGGCGUAAAGGGCGCGUAGGCGGCCUUGCAAGUCGGUUGGUGAAAGCCCGGGGCUCAACCCCGGAGGUGCGGCCGAGACUGCAGGGCUGGAGGCCGGAAGAGGAGGGUGGAAUACCCAGUGUAGAGGUGAAAUUCGUAGAUAUUGGGUGGAACACCGGUGGCGAAAGCGGCUCUCUGGUCCGGACCUGACGCUGAGGCGCGAAAGCGUGGGGAGC
rnacentral:rRNA from 1 species